rnacentral:rRNA from 1 species
CCUACGGGUGGCAGCAGUGGGGGAUAUUGCACAAUGGGGGGAACCCUGAUGCAGCGACGCCGCGUGGGUGUAGAAGCGCCUAGGCGCGUAAAGCCCUGUCAGCAGGGAAGAAAAUGACGGUCCCUGAAGAAGAAGCCCCGGCUAACUACGUGCCAGCAGCCGCGGUACUACGGAGGGGGCAAGCGUUAUCCGGAUUUACUGGGUGUAAAGGGGGCGCAGACGGCGAUGCAAGCCAGGAGGGAAAGCCCGGGGGCCACGACCGGGACUGCUAUUGGAACUGCGUGGCUGGAGUGCAGGAGGGGCAGGCGGAAUGCGUGGUGUAGCGGUGAAAUGCAUAGAUAGCAGGAGGAACACCGGUGGCGAAGGCGGCCUGCUGGACUGCAACUGACGUUGAGGCCCGAAAGCGUGGGGAUCAAACAGGAUUAGAUACCCUAGUAGUC